rnacentral:snoRNA from 1 species
AUGGCUUCUUCGAAGAUCCAUUGACUUUGGCUCUUAGGGGUCUGGUGGUCUCUGGAUUCAAAGCGAAGCCAAGAAGAAAUGUGCAUAUUGUUUUUUACCUUUUAAAACAGUAUCUCAAUGGGCUUGGUUUGGGAAGUGAGUUUUUUUUUCUCUGACUCAUUUCCUUCUGCUCAGUGAUACAAUU